rnacentral:rRNA from 1 species
UACGUAGGGUGCAAGCGUUAAUCGGAAUUACUGGGCGUAAAGCGUGCGCAGGCGGUUCGCUAAGACAGAUGUGAAAUCCCCGGGCUUAACCUGGGAACUGCAUUGGUGACUGGCAGGCUUUGAGUGUGGCAGAGGGGGGUAGAAUUCCACGUGUAGCAGUGAAAUGCGUAGAGAUGUGGAGGAAUACCGAUGGCGAAGGCAGCCUCCUGGGCCAACACUGACGCUCAUGCACGAAAGCGUGGGGAGCAAACAGG